AGUGAACGCUGGCGGUAUGCCUAACACAUGCAAGUCGAACGGCAGCACAGUAAGAGCUUGCUCUUACGGGUGGCGAGUGGCGGACGGGUGAGGAAUACAUCGGAAUCUACUUUUUCGUGGGGGAUAACGUAGGGAAACUUACGCUAAUACCGCAUACGACCUACGGGUGAAAGCAGGGGAUCUUCGGACCUUGCGCGAUUGAAUGAGCCGAUGUCGGAUUAGCUAGUUGGCGGGGUAAAGGCCCACCAAGGCGACGAUCCGUAGCUGGUCUGAGAGGAUGAUCAGACACACUGGAACUGAGACACGGUCCAGACUCCUACGGGAGGAAGCAGUGGGGAAUAUUGGACAAUGGGCGCAAGCCUGAUCCAGCCAUACCGCGUGGGUGAAGAAGGCCUUCGGGUUGUAAAGCCCUUUUGUUGGGAAAGAAAAGCAGCAGGUUAAUACCCCGCUGUUCUGACGGUACCCAAAGAAUAAGCACCGGCUAACUUCGUG
rnacentral:rRNA from 1 species